rnacentral:misc_RNA from 1 species
GUGGAAAGUGAGGAGUCGCCACUGUAAUCUUGAGGAAAAUAUUUAUUAGAGCUCAGACUCUAGCUUACGUAACAUUGCGGAUGUGACUUUAUCCCUUUAAAAGAAACACGUACGUGUUAAGAAUUUUACCUGCAAAGGGGCUCUCACAAUGAUGGGGUGAAUGAAUUGUGGCGUAUGAAGCCCAGAAAAAUGAAGCCAAAGCACUGUUAAGUUGAUUUAGGAGUGAU